AUACGGGGGGUGCAAGCGUUAAUCGGAAUUACUGGGCGUAAAGCGCGCGUAGGCGGUUUGCUCAGUCGGAUGUGAAAGCCCAGGGCCCAACCUUGGAACUGCAUACGAUACUGGCAAACUAGAGUGUGAGAGAGGAUAGUGGAAUUUCCGGUGUAGCGGUGAAAUGCGUAGAUAUCGGAAGGAACAUCAGUGGCGAAGGCGACUGUCUGGCUCAACACUGACGCUGAGGUGCGAAAGCGUGGGUAGCAAACAGGAUUAGAAACCCUUGUAGUCC
rnacentral:rRNA from 1 species